rnacentral:rRNA from 1 species
GAUUAUGGCUCAGAACGAACGCUGGCGGCAGGCUUAACACAUGCAAGUCGAGCGAUCGCAGCAAUGCGGGAGCGGCAGACGGGUGAGUAACGCGUGGGAACGUACCCUCCGGUUCGGAAUAACUCAGGGAAACUUGAGCUAAUACCGGAUACGGCUUAGCGGCGAAAGAUUUAUCGCCGGAGGAUCGGCCCGCGUUCGAUUAGCUAGUUGGUGAGGUAACGGCUCACCAAGGCGACGAUCGAUAGCUGGUCUGAGAGGAUGAUCAGCCACAUUGGGACUGAGACACGGCCCAAACUCCUACGGGAGGCAGCAGUGGGGAGUAUUGGACAAUGGGCGCAAGCCUGAUCCAAGCCAUGCCGCGUGAGUGAUGACGGCCUUAGGGUUGUAAAGCUCUUUCGCUAGGGACGAUAAUGACGGUACCUAGAUAAGAAGCCCCGGCUAACUUCGUGCCAGCAGCUGC